GACGAACGCUGGCGGCGUGCUUAACACAUGCAAGUGGAGCGACGAACCAGGGCUUGCCCUGGGGCAGAGCCGCGAACGGGUGAGUAACACGUGGGUAACGUGCCCCGAUGAUCGGGACAACCCGGGGAAACCCGGGCUAAUACCGAAUGUGCUCCCCUCACACCGGUGAGGGAUGGAAAGGAAGCUUCGGCCUCCGCAUCGGGAUCGGCCCGCGGCCCAUUAGGCUUGUUGGUGAGGUAACGGCUCACCAAGGCUGCGAUGGGUAGCUGGUCUGAGAGGACGAUCAGCCACACUGGGACUGAGACACGGCCAGACUCCUACGGGAGGCAGCAGUGGGGAAUCUUGCGCAAUGCGCGAAAGCGUGACGCAGCAACGCCGCGUGGGGGAAGACGGCC
rnacentral:rRNA from 1 species